UGGAACACUACGGAGAAAGUCUUCCCUCUGGUGGUCAAAUAGGACCAUCAUUUCUAUCUCAUGAUACCAAAAACCUGACCAGGGAAGAGCAAAUAUUUCCUUCCAGGUACUUGACUGUUUCACUGCUUUAACAUUGCUCUUGAGAGAAGACUGAACACAUAGAAGAUGAAUGAAUGACUUGAUGAAUAACUGAAAAUCAGUUCCAAAAUAAAAAAGAGAGCAAAUGAGGAAGACCUCAUCCUUCUCUGUAAGGGGAGAAACCAUGAAAUAGGAUCAGAGAUACAAGUUUCCUAGACAGGGGGCUUGGGGAUAAAGAAUGAGAGUUUUAUAUGAGCUGAAACUCAUAGCAUUUCCGGCAGGAGAGAGACACUUCCCUGGGCCAUGGUUUCCACACCACCUGUCUUCCUCAGGCCUCCUCCGUUAGGGAAGGUGCGUUCAGAGAAGCCAGAGCUGGGAGAGGAAAAAGGCCUUGAGACCUUGUGUAUCUCAGACCUCCAAAGAUCACUUCAGAUACAAGCCACACAGUGGAUACAGAACCGAGGCACUCUGCACCAAAGCUUGAUCCAGACGCCUGCGCCGCCUGAUUUUUCAUUCUUCCCAAGCGAAAUGAUCCCUGCCUGGGUUGUCCCGGGAUCCUGAGUAGAUCGUCCCCCAUCCAGGCCUGUGUUCCAGGGCAGAGACCAGGUCAUACCACACACACUGCAACAACCUUUAUCCUUCAUGCCCUUGGGACGGACCUGGACAUAAAAUCUUUACACCAAAGACAGGAAACAGUAGAGACCAACCUGGAAACCUUGACCAUGUGAAGUCUUUCCCCUAAGCCAGAACUGGACCCCAAAGAUCCUCUGGGUUAACCAGCCGGGAUUUCCCCAGCAGCGUCUACCUUGCUGCCACGAGUCCUUGUCUGUGCCCGCAGCUCCCAACACACCCGGUACCCACAAGAGAGGAGUGAACUCACGCUGACUGAAACCACACAGCAACACACAGAUUUUUGCAACCUGAUGUGAUAGGUAGUGUGUACACAUCAACAUUCAAUUCCGCAAUGUAGUUAUUAUCUCAGUUCAUCAGAUGAAGAAACGCAUGUUCAAAGAUUUAAAGACCUUUCCCUAAAUCACAAACAAUAAGUAGAAGUGAUAUGUUUUGAAUUACAUUUCUAAAAUUAUAAGGUCAACUCCCCCCCCCCCAAACUAUUGCCUUUGAAACCCAGAUUUUUUUAUUCCCUUGUUAAAACCUAAGAAUAGGUAAUUAAGACUUCACCUAUCAAGAGAUUUACUAUUUGCAACUACGUGGAUGGAACUAGAGGGUAUUAUGCUAAGUGAAAUUAGUCGGGGAAAGACAAAUAUCCUAUGACUUCACUCAUAUGAGGGCUUUAAGAUACAAAACAGAUUAACAUAAGGGAAGGAAAGCAAAAAUAAUAUAAGAACAAGGAAGGGGACAAAACAUAAGAGACUCUUAAAUAUGGAGAACAAACAGGGUUGCUGGAGGGGCUGUAGGAGGGGGAUGGGCUAAAUGGGUGAGGGGCAUUAAGGAAUCUACUCCUGAAAUCAUUGUUGCACUCUAUGCUAACUAACUUGGAUGUAAGAUACUGAAAAUGAACCAUGGACUGAAGGGGGAGGGAGGGGUAUUGGUCAUGUGGGGAGAAGCACUGGGUGUUAUAUGGAAACCAAUUUGACAAUAAACUAUUAAAAAAAAAAGACUCUGGACAACGCUAUACCAAAACAACC
rnacentral:lncRNA from 1 species